CGCGCGCGUAGCUCUCAUCCUGUCUCAGAGCAUCUUUCUGUCCCUGAUUACCUCCCUCCUGUCGGAAGUUCCAAAGGCCAAAACUCACGAGUCCUGCCGUCACAGCACUCACCACAAUUAGGAAGAACAACUUCAUUUCCUUUUAGAGCUUCUUCUCAGGUUCCGACGGGGUUCAGCCGUUGCUGGACCUAUACAGGCCGUCAGCCGUUUACCUGGAAGAAUUUUCUGUUUCUUACAAUGUGUAAGGUGUAUCCACGACAGUUUCCCAUCCACUCGAACUGCAGUCUUUGUGGUCAGCUGUACUUGAUAAGGACCUUCCCAUCUAGGCGUGUUCCACCUCUUCCGCACAAACUUCUUCACCCACACGUAGUCGCCCGGUUGAAUGGGUUCCUGGGGGGUGGAAUCUGUGGAAGACACAGGACUAGGCAGAACAUUUACAGUAUUCACACAUCGGUUGAGUAACACUUUUUUCAGAUAAUCUGCUAUUGUUUCCUCAACAUGUUCUAACUCAUUUGUUGUUGCAAAGUAUGGUAGGCAAUAAGGCCGCCCAUAUAAUGCUUCAAAGGGUGUGAUGCCUGUUUUCUUGUGUGGUGUUAUGUGCAUCCAUAAUUUCACCAGGUCGAGACAAAACAUCCAGUUCUUUCCUGUCUCGUCCAUACAUUUCUUCAGUCUGUUCUUAAUAGUACCGUUGACUCUUUCAACCAACCCUGCACUCUGGGGGUGGUAUGCGCAGUGAUUCUUCAAAUCAAUGUCCAAAGUUACUCCUACAGUUUUCACUAUCUCAUUUACAAAAUGGCUUCCAUUGUCGCUCCAGAUGACCUUCGGGAUGCCAAACCUGGGAAUGAUUUCUCUACAUAAAACUUUUGCCACUGUCAGUGCAUCUGCUUUUGCUGUGGGGAAAAUUUCCACCCACCUAGUAAAUCCAUCUAGCACUACUAGACAAUAUUGUUUACCUUCACAUGGUGUUAGCUGAAUAAAAUCUAGAAAAACUGUGUGAAAUGGAUGAUUUGGCAAUGGUGUGGUGCCUGCAGGGGCCUUAAGGGCUCCCUGUGGGCUGUGUUUUACACAAAUAACACAUUGUGAACAAAAAUUUGUAUGAAGUCCUAUAGUGUAAUAAUGUUCAUUAACCAUCUGUACCAUCCCUCCUGUUGAGACAUGGCAUGGCCCAUGGCUCACUAAUGCUGCCCAUUUAUGCAUAUUUCGGG
rnacentral:lncRNA from 1 species